GGGCAGUGGACUAUGAACUGUCCAUUUUCAGUUAUCAUGGUACCGGUGCUGUGUGCCUAUCAAGUACAGUACUAUGAUAACUGAAGAUUGGCAGUGCCAUCGCUGUAC